rnacentral:rRNA from 1 species
UACGGAGGGGGCUAGCGUUGUUCGGAAUUACUGGGCGUAAAGCGCACGUAGGCGGCUUUGUAAGUUAGAGGUGAAAGCCCGGGGCUCAACUCCGGAAUUGCCUUUAAGACUGCAUCGCUUGAACACGGGAGAGGUGAGUGGAAUUCCGAGUGUAGAGGUGAAAUUCGUAGAUAUUCGGAAGAACACCAGUGGCGAAGGCGGCUCACUGGACCGUUGUUGACGCUGAGGUGCGAAAGCGUGGGGAGCAAACAGGAUUGAG